rnacentral:rRNA from 1 species
CUAAUACAUCUUGAGCUGCCAUCCGUUCUUCUUUUAAAGAUGACAAGUAGCGGGCGAACAAGGACUCUGUGAUGAUCGUGGACGGGAUGCCGUUAUCAAUCGCCUGCAUGCUCGUC